CCGUCUGGUUGGUUCUUCUCCUCCGUCCCCUCCUCCUCCGUCUUCCAUUCAUCCGCCCCGCCAAACGGAGCUUAUGCAGCUAAACUGACUGAGCUUUAUCUUCACAGCCUAUUCCAUGGCCGCGAAAGCGAGUCCGCCGCCGCCUCUCCCCAAAUCCGGCGCCAUUUCCAAGGGCUACAACUUCGCCUCGACCUGGGAACAGCAUGCACCAUUGACUGAGCAACAGCAAGCGGCAAUUGUGUCCCUGUCCCGUGCUGUUUCUGAGCGGCCAUUUCCCGCCAACUUGACGCAGGAAAAUGGUACUGGCUUGGAAAAUGGUUUGUCCGCAUCAGCAAAAGAUGGCAACUUUGGAGAAGCUGAAGCUGUUGAUGCAGUAUUGGUCAAUACAAAUCAAUUUUACAAAUGGUUUACAGAUCUUGAAUCAGCUAUGAAAUCUGAGACGGAGGAGAAAUAUCAACAGUAUGUCAAUACGUUGACAGAGCGUAUACAAACAUGUGAUGACAUUCUUCGUCAGGUGGAUGAUACCCUAGACUUAUUCAAUGAACUGCAGUUGCAGCAUCAAGCAGUGGCAACGAAAACUAAGACACUUCAUGAUGCUUGUGACCGCAUGUUAAUAGAGAAGCAAAGAUUGAUUGAGUUUGCUGAAGCGCUUCGAAGCAGGCUCAACUACUUUGAUGAAUUGGAGAAUAUUGCUAGCAAUUUUCAUUCUCCAAGCAUGGCUGUUGGAAAUGAAAACUUCCUGCUGCUUCUUAAAAGGCUUGAUGAGUGCAUAUCGUAUGUUGAAAGUAAUCCACAAUAUGCUGAAUCUGGUAUCUAUUUGGUUAAAUUUCGCCAACUACAGUCUAGAGCUCUUGGCAUGAUCCGCUCACACGUCCUGACCGUUCUUAAAGGUGCUUCUGCUCAGGUAUUGGCUGCUAUCCGAGCCAAUGCUAGUGGGAAAGCCACUGUAACAGAGGGUGUAGAGGCAUCUGUCAUAUAUGUCCGUUUCAAGGCAGCUGCAACAGAGCUAAAGCCUGUGCUUGAGGAAAUUGAAAGUAGAUCGUCAAGGAAAGAAUAUGCUCAAAUCCUUGCUGAAUGCCACAGAUUGUAUUGCGAGCAGCGGCUUUCCUUGAUAAGAGGCAUUGUACACCAACGCAUAUCUGAGUUUGCAAAAAAGGAGGCCCUCCCGUCAUUAACUAGAUCUGGAUGUGCCUAUCUCGUGCAGGUCUGCCAACUGGAGCAUCAGCUCUUUGAUCACUUUUUCCCGUCUUCUGUGGAGGAUGUUUCUAGUUUGGCACCAUUGAUAGAUCCACUGUCAACUUAUCUUUACGAUACACUGCGCCCGAAGCUUAUCCAUGAAACAAAUAUUGAUCUUCUAUGUGAACUGGUUGAUAUUCUUAAAGUUGAAGUUUUGGGGGAGCAGGUCAGUAGACGGGGUGAAACAUUGGCCGGGUUGCGUCCUACGCUAGAGAGAAUUUUAGCAGAUGUUCAUGAGCGGUUGACGUUCCGUGCUCGAACACAUAUCCGUGACGAGAUAGCAAACUACAUUCCUCUCAACGAGGACUUGGAUUAUCCUGCAAAGCUAGAGCAAUCUGCUGCUGCAAUUGAAUCUACGGCUACUUCUGCUGAGGAAAACACAGAUGUAUACAAAGCUUGGUACCCUCCGCUGGAGAAAACUAUAUCAUGCCUUUCAAAGUUAUACCAAUGCUUAGAACCUGCCGUUUUCACUGGUUUAGCACAGGAAGCAGUAGAAUUUUGCUCAGGAUCUAUCCAGAAAGCAAGCAAACAGAUUGCAAAAAGAUCAUCACCUAUGGAUGGGCAGCUCUUCCUUAUAAAGCAUUUGUUGAUUUUGAGAGAGCAGAUUGCGCCAUUUGAUAUAGAAUUUUCAGUGACUCAUAAGGAGCUUGAUUUUUCACAUUUGUUGGAACAUCUAAGACGAAUUCUUAGAGGUCAAGCCUCACUUUUUGACUGGUCACGCUCCACAUCAUUGGCAAGGACCUUAUCUCCCAGAGUUUUGGAAAGUCAAAUAGAUGCCAAGAAGGAACUAGAAAAAAGUCUAAAGGCCACUUGUGAGGAGUUCAUUAUGGCUGUCACUAAACUAGUUGUUGAUCCCAUGCUUUUAUUUGUCACCAAGGUGACUGCUGUGAAGGUUUCUGUGUCUUCAGGUGGUCAGAGUCAACAGCUGCAGUCUGUCAUGGCAAGACCACUCAAGGAACAAGCUUUUGCUACUCCGGACAAGGUGGCAGAACUUGUUGAAAAGUCCGGACUCAAGUCUUCAUUUUUUACCGAAGGGGCUAUAAUUGCCAAUAACCAAAAGCAAGGCAGGAGUUUCAGGUAGCCAAUGCUAUUGAACAAGAGUUGCCCCCGGUGAUGGCCAAGAUGAAACUCUAUCUUCAGAACCCAUCAACACGAACGAUACUCUUCAAACCGAUCAAGACAAAUAUUAUAGAAGCCCAUGUACAAGUUCAGACCUUGCUAAAUGCAGAAUACUCUCCCGAGGAGAGACAGAACAUCAUUAACAUGAUUUCCAUAUCGGAUCUACAAGCAAAAUUGGAUAGCUUCUUGUAAGUUGCUUCGAGAAAGACGUCACUUAUUCAUCUUGUCCUUACAGUCCUUGUUAUCUUUCCUCAAUCGAUGUCAGUCUUUGUUAUAGGGGCACAUAAUUCCUCACUGUGGGGUAGUAGGAUUAUGUGCGGUAUACUAUCAAAAUUUUUAUAGCGUAGAGACACAAGUAACGUAUAUGCACAUUUAUUCUAGUGAAGAUCUUACUAAGAAGACGUGAAAUGCUUCAUCCGUCAGUGUCAAUGCCAUCUUAAUAGAAGAUAUGGAGUAAAGGAUGAUCUUCAAUGAUCAGUUUGAUUGCUAUUCCUGAUUUCUUUUGUGGGCAUGAUUACAACAGCUGAGGGUUAGUUUCAACAUAAGAAUCGAUGUCUCCGACAUUGUUGUUUGAGCGAACGGGAAUAUAAAUUUUAUGCUUAUAGAUUAGUAGUAUAAUAUCAGUUUAUUAAA